rnacentral:rRNA from 1 species
GAUGAACGCUGGCGGCGUGCCUAAUACAUGCAAGUCGAGCGAACGGACGAGAAGCUUGCUUCUCUGAUGUUAGCGGCGGACGGGUGAGUAACACGUGGAUAACCUACCUAUAAGACUGGGAUAACUUCGGGAAACCGGAGCUAACACCGGAUGAUAUUUUGAACCGCAUGGUUCAAAAGUGAAAGACGGUCUUGCUGUCACUUAUAGAUGGAUCCGCGCUGCAUUAGCUAGUUGGUAAGGUAACGGCUUACCAAGGCAACGAUGCAUAGCCGACCUGAGAGGGUGAUCAGCCACACUGGAACUGAGACACGGUCCAGACUCCUACGGGAGGCAGCAGUAGGGAAUCUUCCGCAAUGGGCGAAAGCCUGACGGAGCAACGCCGCGUGAGUGAUGAAGGUCUUCGGAUCGUAAAACUCUGUUAUUAGGGAAGAACAUAUGUGUAAGUAACUGUGCACAUCUUGACGGUACCUAAUCAGAAAGCCACGGCUAACUACGUG